GUACUACAAUCACUCUUCAGCUUGGGUCUACUUGGCUUCAUUUCCUGGGUCCCUUUAUUACCUCUCCAGCAUCUGGUCCUCUUAUGUUAUUUAUAUGUGGUCCUGUUAAGCACUUGUGUACUUAGAGAUUUUAAUACUCCUGCCACUGCUAUGGGUUAUAUGACCUGACAUCCCAAGUAAAUGCCAAUGGGGCAGAUGAGUCAACCUGGAAAUGGAAGAAGUUUAUUUUUGGAGUUGUCAAAUUUCUGUCAAUGGAAAACAAGUGAUAGGAAGUCAAAAGCUUUCCUUCCCUUGCCUCCUCUCUCAGACUGGUCCAAGGUACAGAUUCACAACAUGUCUUUUUUAAGAACAUCCUUUGUGGAAGGCUGCCUCCCUUGCAUGGGGCCUUUCGACUGCUCUUGUCUGAGGCCUCCAACGACAGAGUCUCCCUUGAAACUCCCAAAAGGAGGAAGAAGAGGUACCUGUGGCAUGACAAGGCCCCUACACCUACUUGGCCAUGAUUGCCUUGAUAAUUCAGGCCACACCUUUCGACAGCCUGAAGCUGGGCUAGAUCACCCAUCAGGCCCAGACAGUGUUCCUCUUUUUCAGGAGCAAUUACUAGGGUUGGAAAGACUCCAUCCACCACAACUUUUCCUCUAAUGGGUGCUUCUGAAACAUGCUCAUGGGCAGCUUCUGGGCAGUGGACAUGGGGCUGAUCCCAGCAGACGCACUGCAUCUUCAGAACACUGCCUUGUGCCAAUGAUGGUAGACUCAGGGCACACACAGAGCUUAUGCCUGAGGCCCUAUGAGCUUCAUGGCUGGCCUUAUUUGCCAUCCAGUCCCCCAGGGAGGGUUUCAGCAUCAAGUCCCUGCUAGAGGACCUGUGAAAGAAUCAACAUGGCCCCGGCAGCCUUCGCUACCUGGACAGAGCACCUCAGCUCAGGCAGGCACCUGUUCUAAGGGGGAUGAACAGGUGUGCACUGUACACCCUAACUCCUCUGAGAAGCUUCUGUGCCACCCCACCCUUGCUCCCUUGCUGGGCCCACAAGAAUAGAGGGGGAGACUUCCCAAGAGGAAGUUAUCAGGCUUUCUCCCUUUUCCCUAGAGCAAGGCACCUGGCCUAUACACUUAAGAGUUUCCUCAGAUCCCAUCUGAGAGUGUCCAUCAAGGGAGCAGAGCUUCCUUGUGGGGACAGCUACUCACCUCUUACUUGCCCAUCUACACUCCCAAUGUAGUAAUGCUCUUGGCCACACUUCUUGUUCCCAGUGCCCAUCCUCAACCAGUCCAGCCUGCUGGAGCAGAGGUAUUGAACCUUAAGGGUCCCAGGAGCUGAUCUAGAUUCUUCUUCCAGGGAGUACCACCCAACAAGAGUAUCUAUGAUGUGUGUCAGCCCUCCUUGGGGUCUGGCUGUUCCUGUCUCAGGCUGGCCAAUCAUGUCUUGAUUCUCACACACAAAGGGACCAUGUGUGGAGAAGCAGGACUUGGACUCCAGUACUGCCACCUUUUUUGAUCCCAUCUUCUCAGGCCCUUGUGCCAUCCAUCUCUCCAUCCCUCUGUCACCAUGCCUUCCUGGCUCCAGGUUGGGGGAUAGCCAAGUGAGUCCAAUCUGAAGUCUUGUCCCCAGCCCCCAGCUGCCUGUACCUUUUAGGGAAAGGGCUAGGAAACGAAAGACUGGACCCAGCACAAUUUGGGGGUGAUGGAAGUAGGGGAGAGAUUAACAGUAAAGGAGUUUACAGCAUUAAAAAAAAGAACAUCCUUUGAGAAAAAACAAGCAUACUGAACAAGUGACCCACCAUGUCUCUCUCUUCAGGGCUCAUGAUGAGAACUCACACAUGACCUCACAGAGUGUAUAAUACUCACUCAGUGUAAUAUGUCAAUUGGCUUCUGCUUCUUUUUCCUCCACUCUUAAUAUCAGAAAAUCUUACCUCUCCAGUAGACUCUUAGCACUUAAUUCUUAUCUCAUGCUUUUUGUUGAACAGGAAACUACUUGAGCCAAGACAGGUAGCACAGGGAAAAACAGCAUCAACAAUGACCACAAAAAGCCUCUGGACCUGACCCUGCACACCAGGACUUUCAGGGUCUGACCUUAGCUCUUAUUGAGUGUUUUCCUUCGAGGUAGUGGUAUGCUUGCUCAUGCAGAGUGGUCCUAAAUGCAAUUUCAAGUGUCAUUAGAAGAAAUAGAUGGAGGGAGAUUUGCCUAUAGAAGAGCCCUGACUGGUCAGAGAAGCAGAGACUGGGGGAUCUGGUAGCCUCAUUAUUAUAUUCUCCAUUUAUCUGAGAUCAAGUCUGCAGCCUUCACAGGGAAGGCAGUAGAGACUUGAAUUCCUGUUCCCCAAGGUAGGCAACUUGGGGACUCUCCACCUCACAGGGGAGCCUAAAAGGUGAAGAGAACAUCAAUAAGCUGGGUGAUGCCCACAAGAGCGUAUGACAGGACAAGACGAUUGGUUACCUGCCUGGCAUUCAGGGAUGCUUACUGCGUAAGAUGGUCACAUUCCUGUGUCAAUGCUGCAUUGUGUCCCCUUCUAUCACCAAUUGUGGCCCACUAACAACUGCUGAGACAAGAGAUCUGGGGAAGCCUGAAGCAGGGUCAGCAAAGCUGCUGACUGAACUCUGGUGGCCAAAUACUUUAUUCAGCUUGAUGAGGAUAAGAACUGGGACUCCGCUGGAUUGUUAUAGGCUGAAGCUUUGACUGGAGAAAUGAUAGCCACCCUACCCUCAAAUGACUACCCCGAAGAACUUAACUGGACAACGAAAUGGUAAAUAUCUAGUACAAUACCUGUGCCAGUCCUGAUCGGUCCUUUCCCUUCAGAGCAGCAUGGAGAACAUUGCUACAAAAAGGAAGGAAGAACCAAGCUGAACUCCAGCCAGGCCCCUUGUGUGUCCACUCUAGAGGCUGAGCCUGCUGGCCCAAAGAAACUUGUCUGCUUCCCAGCGUGUUUGAUGGAGCACAUCCGGUUUAAAUUGUCAAUUGUCAGCACAUCCCAGAGCUAGGAAAUAUCAGAGGGAAUUACUGACUGUUUUAUUGAUUUAAUCAGAUACUUUUACACAAAUUAUAGUCCACAAAAUUAUGGGCUCCCUGUAGUCUUGAACAAGGCAGAGCUUCAGUGUAGCUUAAAGUGGAAAGUACCAUCAUCGCUGCAGGUAGGAUCCAGAGGAGCAGAGAUGAACUAAGACAAACGCAGGAAAAGCAGAGGGAGGGAUUUGUUCAGAAGAUGUUUUCCUAGUGCUAGAGAGUGAGCCAGGAGAUGCUCUACCUUUGAGCUAUGCUCAACACCCCUAGAAACAAUUUCUAAGUCAAACGUGUAAGGAGAAGGGAAGGCAAGAGAGGACGUGUGGCAGGAACACUUUGGAUAAUAUUAUCUUCGAGCAAUAAGAAGCCUUUCAAUUUUUUUGAGCAAGAAAAUGAGAUAUUUGGCGCUUUGCUUCAGGAAGAUAACACUGACAAGAAGUCUGCAAGAUGAAGGACCACUUCCCAAGCCACGCUCAGCCCCCUCCUACCUUUCCUCACAUAAAGACUGACCUUGUAAUUAAGGGUGACCAUAAAACCCAGAUCUGGACAUGAGGCCAUGUAUGGGAGUGUUUCAGGUGAGACCCUGGCUUCCUCAGAACAGCGUAAGAGGUGCAGCUGGCAAUACCUCUGUGUCUCCGUUUCUGGCUUUACCAAGUCUGAGUGUGACAACUAAAGCUCCAACAGCCAUUUUCUACCAGAGAUGACGGGAGCAGGGGACAGAAAGGUGUGACCUCACUGCAAUGCUCAGUCACUGAACCAGCCUUGGACUCAUUGUGUUAAGAUUUCUAAAAACUGCUAGCUCUUUUUUUUGUUCUUUGCAGACAAACAUACUCUGAGAGAACUGUCAGCAAUGAAUUUCUGAUGCUUAAGUCACCCAGCCUGUGAUAUUUCAUGAUAGGAGCCUUAAGAAAUGAAUGCCCAGUUAAAGCCAAAUACAGAGAAAACAACUUAACCUUAGUGGGUUUUUAGUUUCAUUGAUAAAAUGAUUCAAAAAUGAACUUGAAAGGAAGCUUGAGGUCAGUUGUAUCUGGUUUGAGAGAAAAACAACAGGGCAGGCAAGCUGCUCAGGGAGGAAGAUGCAAAGAGAAGGAAAUCCACAGCAUUUGUAACCAGCCACAGGGAAGAUAUUGGGGAUGGAGUCACUGCAAAAAGGUGGAGGAAGGGUAAGGAAGGGGGAGGGAAGAGGGAGAGAGAGGAAGGGAGAAGAUGAGUGAGAGAGAGGGAAUGGAGAAAGACACACACACACACACACACACAGAGAGAGAGAGAGAGAGAGAGAAAGAGAGAGAGGUUGUACUUUCUGAGUAACUUGGAAAAGCCGGCAGACCUUAUAGCUGCACCAUGGAGGCUUUCAGGUGGGGCCUUGAGGGCGGGGCUUCCGGGAAGGACAAGUACAUUAUUUUCAGAAGGGUGUAAUUAUUCC
ensembl:lncRNA